GACGAACGCUGGCGGCGUGCUUAACACAUGCAAGUCGAACGAUGAAGCUGGAGCUUGCUCCGGUGGAUUAGUGGCGAACGGGUGAGUAACACGUGAGCAAUCUGCCCUUGACUCUGGGAUAACUGCGGGAAACUGUAGCUAAUACCGGAUACGACGUACGGAGGCAUCUCCUGUACGUGGAAAGAAUUUCGGUCAAGGAUGAGCUCGCGGCCUAUCAGCUAGUUGGUGAGGUAAUGGCUCACCAAGGCGACGACGGGUAGCCGGCCUGAGAGGGUGACCGGCCACACUGGGACUGAGACACGGCCCAGGCUCCUACGGGAGGCAGCAGUGGGGAAUAUUGCACAAUGGGCGAAAGCCUGAUGCGUCAACGCCGCGUGAGGGAUGAAGGCCUUCGGGUUGUAAACCUCUUUUAGUUGGGAAGAAGCGAAAGUGACGGUACCAACAGAAAAAGCACCGGCUAACUACGUGCCAGCCGCCGCCGUAA
rnacentral:rRNA from 1 species